CACAUCUAGCUCAUUUUAUAUUCUUAGAGUAAGGUUUGCAUUUUUAGAAAAUAGCUCACACAAUUAGUUAAAAAGCCAUAAUAAGAACCAUAACAGAUAUGAAAAGAGAAUAUCCUUAAACAAGCUCAUCGUCAUCGUAAUCAAUAUACAAUCCAUAAAUACGAAAAGUGAACAGAUCCUGAAAGAAUCUACCAAUGAGGGAAUCCUUAAACAAGCAAAGAAAUAAUCCGUAAACAAGCUUCGUCAUCGUAAUCAAUAUACAUUCCGUAAUUACAAAAAUUAUCAGAUCCAGAUAGACUCCACAAGUUUCACCUGAGGUUUACACCAAUUAUCCACCUAAACGCUCCAUCUCCAUCUGUUCGAAAAAAAAAAG